CCUUCGAUAGCUCAGUUGGCAGAGCGGGGGACUGUAGAGGUACCUAAUCGAAAUCCCUAGGUCGCUGGUUCAAAUCCGGCUCGAAGGA